AACUACACAAAAAAAUCAUUUGUAUAAAACAGUGCAAGAAUUGCUAGAUUCUAACAAGGGUCUGCUUCCAGCCUAUAAAGCAAAUCUUCCACAAGCACUUGCCCUUGCGCAGUCUCAGUUACAACAAGCUAACCUUAUUGCUGCUCAGAAGUUGCUGUAUUCCCAGCCAACAGCAGUUAGCACAGCUAGGUUCCAUGACUAUUCUGUACAGCCCCCAAGAUCAGGAUGGGAAGGAAGCCAGUUACCAGCAACAAACUAUCUCCACAAGUUGAUUGCUUUGAAGAAAAAGUUCCUUUCU